AUUGAACGCUGGCGGCAGGCCUAACACAUGCAAGUCGAACGGCAGCACAGAAGAGCUUGCUCUUUGGGUGGCGAGUGGCGGACGGGUGAGUAACACGUAGGAAUCUACCCAGUAGUGGGGGAUAACCUGGGGAAACCCAGGCUAAUACCGCAUACGCCCUGAGGGGGAAAGCGGGGGAUCUUCGGACCCCGCGCUAUUGGAUGAGCCUGCGUCGGAUUAGCUAGUUGGUGGGGUAAGGGCUCACCAAGGCGACGAUCCGUAGCUGGUCUGAGAGGAUGACCAGUCACACCGGAACUGAGACACGGUCCGGACU
rnacentral:rRNA from 1 species